AAUGAGAUCAUAUCGAUCAUAAAUGAGAUGAUCGAUAAUAUAGAUACCUGUACAGUCUUAUACAUUAUGUCAAAAGUUCUUUGAAAAUCCACGAAGUGUAGUUUGGCUUCAGUAUAGGACCCACAAUUGAACGUGAUCAAUGAUUCUUCUUGGCAAACACAUGGCUUGGAAAUAAAUUCCAAAAAGUUCUACUAAUAAAUCAGCACUUUGAGAUAAAUAAAUCACUUUGUAACAUUUUAAUAAUAACAAAUAUUUUUCUUCACUGCAAUCGGAACAACAAACACAACCUUGGUAUUAAAAAUUAAAAUUAUCACCUUACCUCCUUGUCCUGUCGUUGCUGAGACAGAGGCAGAAAAGCUUUAUUUCCUUGUUAGCUUGUUCUUUUGUCAAGCUAGUGAUAUUUUUGUUGACAAAGUCCCACUGUUAGAAGCAAUUUUGCACACUGGAUUUGAAACUAAGGUGCACUGUGAAUAGCAUCUCCUCACUGUAAACUUUGAAAAUGAUCAAGCAAGAAAACACAAUAAGAAAAAAAAGUGGAAACAAUGGCACGGUAAAGUGCCUCCUUUUUAUCUUUUCCUCUUUUUUUGAUUACUUUCAU